rnacentral:rRNA from 1 species
GACGAACGCUGGCGGCGUGCCUAAUACAUGCAAGUAGAACGCACAGUUUAUACCGUAGCUUGCUACACCAUAGACUGUGAGUUGCGAACGGGUGAGUAACGCGUAGGUAACCUGCCUGGUAGCGGGGGAUAACUAUUGGAAACGAUAGCUAAUACCGCAUAAUAUUAAUUAUUGCAUGAUAAUUAAUUGAAAGGUGCAAUUGCACCACUACCAGAUGGACCUGCGUUGUAUUAGCUAGUAGGUGAGGUAACGGCUCACCUAGGCGACGAUACAUAGCCGACCGGAGAGGGUGAUCGGCCACACUGGGACUGAGACACGGCCCAGACGCCUUCGGGAGGCAGCAGUAGGGAAUCUUCGGCAAUGGACGAAAGUCUGACCGAGCAACGCCGCGUGAGUGAAGAAGGUUUUCGGAUCGUAAAGCUCUGUUGUAAGAGAAGAACGGGUGUGAGAGUGGAAAGUUCACACUGUGACGGUAUCUUACCAGAAAGGGACGGCUAACUACGUG